UCCUGUGUUGCUUACCAAUGAAAUGGAAUUUGAUAGUCAUGUUAUACGGAUUCGCCUUGUGCUCUUUGGGGUGCGAGGUGGACAUGCGGUGAGCACUGUGUUCCUAACAUACCAAGUGCAUUGGUGUUUGGUUGUUGUGGCCCAUGGUGUCUUUGCUUGUUCUCUCGGAUGCGGAAAGCUAAGUGUGGGUGUAAGGUCUCGGCCUUGAAUCGUCCUAGCACUGUCUUUUGACUCGAAUGACUGCCGUGCCUGUCUUGAUCUUCCCGACCAAGGCCUCGUAAUGGGGCUUACUGGACGAGGGUGGAUCACGCAGGUGUUGGCGUUAAAGAGGAAAGCUAC
rnacentral:misc_RNA from 1 species